GGCAGCCACAACUGGCCUAAUAUGCAGGUCCCCAUGCAAGGGACACUCCCCCCUGGACCUGAGAGUAGACUACAGUAAAAACAUAUACACAUUACAUUGGCUCUCAGGUCCAGGACACUCCCAUACAAAACAGGUCAAUCCCUCCCCUAUGCCUGGGAGAUAAUUGAGUCAGCACUGUAUUAAACUCAAUUAUCUCCAGGCACAGAAAACACACAUUUUUACAAAACACCCCAAAACACCUUAAAACACACAAAAUCCCCACAAAACUUACAUGCCCUGAUUUGGGUGACCAACAUAUCCAAAAAUCACCCAGAUCAAUUCAGGGUUUCAGGAAUUUCCUGGAAGUCAUAAUUUGACCGCCCACCCACAUGGUCCCAUGCCCAAAACAGUUCCA